UACAGAGGUCCCAAGCGUUGUUCGGAUUCACUGGGCGUAAAGGGUGCGUAGGUGGCGAGGUAAGUCGGAUGUGAAAGCUCGGAGCUCAACUCCGAAACUGCAUUCGAUACUGCCGUGCUUGAGGACUGGAGAGGAGACUGGAAUUUACGGUGUAGCGGUGAAAUGCGUAGAUAUCGUAAGGAAGACCAGUGGCGAAGGCGGGUCUCUGGACAGUUCCUGACGCUGAGGCACGAAGGCCAGGGGAGCAAACGGG
rnacentral:rRNA from 1 species